rnacentral:piRNA from 2 species
UAUUUAAUUUAUGAGUGCCCUCUUU